rnacentral:rRNA from 1 species
UACGUAGGGUGCGAGCGUUAAUCGGAAUUACUGGGCGUAAAGCGUGCGCAGGCGGCGGCUCAAGUCAGGUGUGAAAUCCCCCGGGCUUAACCUGGGAAUUGCGCUUGAAACUAGGCUGCUUGAGUGUGGCAGAGGGGGGUGGAAUUCCACGUGUAGCAGUGAAAUGCGUAGAGAUGUGGAGGAACACCGAUGGCGAAGGCAGCCCCCUGGGUCAACACUGACGCUCAUGCACGAAAGCGUGGGGAGCAAACAGG